UGUGAGGCAGGACAUGAGUUCUUCAUACUGGCUGAAUGGGAAAUAAGAACCUUGGAGCGCUGGAAGUUAUUUGUCAGGAGCUAUUAGCAAGAGCUGAGACUUUAUAGGAAAAAUCAUUUGAGAGGGGAGCCAUGGUCCCCCCUGCAGGCAGGCCAAUUAUGGAACACUGCAGAAGCAGCAGCAAUACAGGAAUGGUUGCACAGAGCCCAGAAUUCAUCACUGUGGUUAGCAUUACGGGAAGAAAUGAAUGACACAGUCCAGAAAUGUUGACUGCUUCAAGGUGAAGCAGGUCAGCUAGGAGAAACCCUGAUCAUGAGCAAGUCUGUCAACUGCGGAGAAGCACCUUUCCACCUCCUCCUUCUGUACUCCGUAUUUAUGGUUUGGCUUAUGCCAUGUUGUUAAUUUCCUGUUGUUGUUGACCCCUUUCUCACAUAUUAUUUGCUUGUGGCAGGCCUCAAUGGGCUCAAAUCAGUGUGUGUAGGGAGACCACAAUAUGCUUAGACCCUAUCACAGAGCAUAACUGUGAGGCAUGCCAGCAGGAUAAUAGCAUCCCCAAAAAAUUGCCUGCAGCACUUGAGCUGCAAGAUGAGAUGUAAUUUCCAGAAGUCCAUGUCCUAAAAAGAAACGUUUCUUUUUCUCAUCUGCUUCAAUAUGACAGUUGACUGUAGGCAAGAAAUGUGCAGUUUUAAUCAUUAUGUGUGGUAGCGGUGAACCUUGUUCAUUUCUGGUGCUAAAUAUAUAUAUUGCUUUUUAAGUGAUUGCCAUUGGUGCUGGUCCAGCUUUGGUGCCUACGCCAACUGCUUUGCUAUUGCUAAGAAAGGUAGAAGUCAUUAACCUGAUACAGCAAGAGUCGAGAAGGUGACAUAACUGUUGACAUCUCCUAAUUUUAUAGCUACAACUAUGAAUAAAUUGAACUUCUCAGAAUCCUUCCUUGAUGUCCCUAUUCAGCAAAAGCUGUGGGAAUAUGGUUGACUUUGUAAGCAUGCAUUUAAAUUCCAGUGUGAUUCAAAUAUAUUUGUGUGUUCUACUGUGCAGAGUUGGAUCGAAAAGUGACUGUGUCUUUUUUGUUAUGCAGGCUCAAUUUAGCAAAGCACUUAAACAUGCCAAACAGCAAGCAUCUGGCCUGUGCUUGCAGUUCUUUAAUAGCUGCCCCAAAUGAAUGACUUGGGGCAUUCCAGAACUCUGGCAUUCAAUACAAACUUCAGAUACCAGUGAGACAAGGCUGGAUUGACUGCAAAACAGCAUGGACUAUAAUUGUCUAGCUUUAAUGGAACAAUCACAACUCUUAUCUGUGGCAGACAAAGGUUUACUUUUUUGUUUAAUGGGGAAAAGUGUCCACUGAAAUAUCUCAGUCAUGGUAUUUCUUAGUUGCAACCCUUCAUUCUCUCAACAUACUCAUAAAAAUGAACCGAACAGGCAUAAAUACCCUGCCUGAACCAA